UGAGUAAAGCGCGCAAAAACUCUUUUGGGUAGGUAGGUAGAGGGUAGGCGGGUAGAUAGGUAGGGGAGCAAUCUUCUCCCUAUCUACCCCCCUUCUUCUCUCCCUAUCUACUUUCUGGGGCUUUGUGGUGGCUUCGGGAGGGGCUUGCGGCCUAUCAGCUUGUUGGUGGGGUAAUGGCCUACCAAGGCGACGACGGGUAGCCGGCCUGAGAGGGCGACCGGCCACACUGGGACUGAGACACGGCCCAG
rnacentral:rRNA from 1 species